AAUAAAUAAAUAAAUAAAUUUAUUUUUAAAAAACCCCAAAAACAGUUAAAACAAAGCCAAAAAAUUAGUAAGGUCAAACUCUUAACUCGUUCCAUUAUGUACAAGAAGUAACUGUUAACGAUAAUGAACACCUUGAAGUUGGUUUCUGUCCUAUAGGACUUUACAAACUUAACUUACUUUGCAUAGCAUUCAGCCAGCAAAGAUACAUACCUAAGUACCAUAUGAUGGUCUACUUUUAUAUAUAUUGUCAUACAUAUGUUUGUGUCCUAAAAAUCUAAGGUUGUAACUGAGGAUAUUUUUUUAAAGCUAUGUAUAACCAAUCACAGAAACUAAAUAGAAAUUAAUCAAUGAAUUUCUUACGGGCCUGAAACCCGGUGAACAUCACAUUUGAUCAUGCCAAUGAGUCAACCAUUAUAAUCUGUUCAAAGGAGAGAUUAAAGACUAUAAAUUAUACUGCCAGGACCUAGUACCACCUGACGGACAUUUUUUAAGUGGUAGAACUGUAUUUUCCCAGACAUUCACUUGAACCACAGAAGUUUAUAGUAAUUUUUUAAAGAAUUAAAUAGUAAAGAAAGUUAUGCAGUUUUAUUUUGGAUAAAAAUUACUUAUCUGUGCACACGUAAAAGGUACAUUUUACGUGACUAUUCUAUGAAGACUAUUCUAUGUGACUAUUUUAUGUGACUAUUCAUACAAGGAGUUCUUUGUUUGUUUAUACUAGUUCUUAUCAACAUCAGAAUAUAAAGGUUAUUUUAAGAUUUUAAUGUAUAUCUUACCUGACAAAUAUUUCACUUUUGCUAUUAGGAAGACAGCUUGCAGAAGACCGGGAACAGUUCUUACUAUAGUCUCCAGGAUUGAGUUUACUCUCGGCAGAGCUGCCAGAAGACUCCUUUUAAAAUGCUGAACUGGAUCAUGCUGGAAGCCUUCUGGUGGCUCCCCACUGUACUCAGAACUGAAGCCAGAGAAGUUACCACACUGGUCUCUGUGCUGAGACCUCACGGCUUACUGACUACAGCUCUCCUACACCAAUUCUCUGCUCCAGCUACACACACCCCUGCUGGAACAUAAAGGAAGGGGAUCCAGAGAUGAACCUAAUCCUGAACCACUUCCACAUAUUUGCCCAUCGAGUUCUCCUGUCUGAGAAGAUUAAGUCCCCAUUUCCACAGUCUUCCCAGCCUACUCCUAUGGAUAAACAGUACAUGCCAUUUCCCCGCACUUUCUUAAAAGUUUUAGAAAGCAUUUAGUCGUAGAUUUGUUUAUGAACUAAACAUAGUG